rnacentral:rRNA from 1 species
UACGGAGGGGGCUAGCGUUGUUCGGAAUUACUGGGCGUAAAGCGCACGUAGGCGGAUCAGUCAGUCAGGGGUGAAAUCCCGGGGCUCAACCCCGGAACUGCCUUUGAUACUGCUGGUCUUGAGGUCGAGAGAGGUGAGUGGAAUUCCGAGUGUAGAGGUGAAAUUCGUAGAUAUUCGGAGGAACACCAGUGGCGAAGGCGGCUCACUGGCUCGAUACUGACGCUGAGGUGCGAAAGCGUGGGUAGCAAACAGG